UGAGAGACCCUGCGAAGGAGGAGAUCCCUGAGAAAAAGCGCAACACCAGCCAGAAGCUCAGCCUCGGAUACCUGCACAUGGCCGUCAGACAGAAGACGGGCAUGAAGACGAGAGCAGGGUCAGACCCUAAAGAACAGCAAGGCCACCUUGGCUAUGGAGCAGACAGUGGACCUGAAAUUGCAACAAGAAACAGGAAGGUCUUCAUUAACAUCCGUCGUUGCUGUCAUCCUCCUAACGGCUUGUCCUGUGUAAGAGGAGAUCCUUGCGAGAAAAGCGCAAUACCAGCCAGAAGCUCAGCCUCAGAUAAGUUCAUAUGGCCGU
ensembl:lncRNA